ensembl:lncRNA
GAGAAGCCAUGGAGACCCAUUCCUAUCGGGAAGGACUGAAGGAAGGACUGAGGAGACACUGCCUGUCCACUCUAGGCCACUGUGUCUCCACCGAGGUGACACUACCGCGCAAUGUGACAAAUCCCCCCUGGAACGAUCCACCUCUCCUCUCCUCCUUUUCUCUGCUGCUCGGAUGACUGGAGACUCCACGUCUGGAGCCGGAGCAAGUCCACAGGGCCUUCUGCUCCGACUGUGACCACAGGACUUGGGGAGACAGGGUCUCGCCCAGACAUACGCCACAUGUCAGCCCGGCCGCCCGUCCAGAGCUCAGAGCACACUGGCUGCAGCCUGGAGCCUCCUGGGUCGCUGGUCUGAGACGCAGAGCCGCAGAGCCACCAUGACACAUAGUCCUUCUCCAUACGCUCCAUACAGACAGAGCUACUGUACCGUACAGGUGCCACCUCUCCACUGUCUCGAGGUCUGAGGUAGACGUAAAGGAAAGCUGGGAAGCUAAUGAGUAGGAAAUGUGAAAAAGCUUUUUGGGCUAAUCUUAUGCCGGAUAUAGCAAAUGAUGACAGAUUAAAAAUAAUGGAGAACGCAAUGCUUUGGGAUUACCGUGCCAUUAGAUUGGCUGGCCAAGAGAGGAUUUGGAGGCAGACUAGAACCAAGAUAAUCAAUCAAAUAAUCUCAACAACCCCUUGUUCACUGAAAACAAUUAGACCACUUCUCAAAAAUCAAUAGCACCGCAUUCUGUUUAGAUACCCACCAGUCCUUCAUUUUAUCAAGUCUCUCUGGGAUUUGAUAAACCAGUUAGUCGGUAAAACCAUCAGAGGCCCCAAAUAAAAAUCGCAAAUCGAAAACAAUAUAAUGUAAGGCGAUAUUGGUUAUUUUUCACUGGUUCAUUAACAAACCUCCCAUGUGGAGGUACAGUUUAGGGGAAUAUAAAAGAGGUCAUCUGUUUUGUUCCUAAGUGUUGAGGGAAACAACAGGGCAGCAAGGCAUCAUACUGUAGCUGAAGGAAACCAAAUAACCAUGUGGACGAAAAGAAAUCGGGCUUCAUAAAGUUCCUAUGAGAUAUCCUCAAAGUGGUGUUGGUUGAUGUCUCCUGUUUCUCGACUGCAGGUACCAUGCAUAAUUAAAGCAGGGAUUUGUAUCUGUCUGUACUCUGUGCCCUCCUGAUGAAUUAAUAUCUGGUGGAAGUCCUACACUGUGCUACACUGCCAUCACAUUAGCCCAUUUGUAUCAGUCAGUUGCUUGCUCCAUCAGCUAUUUGUAAAACUAGAGAGGGGAGAAAAAAUACUGUGAGAUUGUCAGACGUGUAUUUAUUAUCAUAAAUGUCUUAUGAAUUAGGUAUGAUUCUAAUGUCAGGGCUAUAAUGCCGUAAGUGUAAAUGCAAAGCACACUGGUGAUUCAUGGCUUGUGAAGGAAACAUGUUUUGACAUUGCCAAGCUAUAGCUUUAAAGAUUCACUUGAUGAUGCAUAGAAUGUGAUCGUUUCACUCAUAUCGUUUUUUUUUUUUUAAAUGAUCCAAACGUUUGAUAUCACUGGAGAUACAGGCUAAUGAAGUUAUUUAAGUGAUUAUUCCCGAGAAGCCGGUGUUUGGAGGAUAUAUUGGCACGGGUGUUGUUAGGCCAGUGACGAAGUCGAGGUCCGGUAAACUGCGCC